GGUGAUUUGCAGACAGUGAAGCGUUCCAAAGUAAUAUCAGACAAUAGGUGUGCAAGAUAAUGUUAUAUAUAAGGGUUUAACUGUUUCAUUUGAAUGCAUGUUUGUGGCUGUGAUAGCGGUAACGGUGACAGAGACUGUGAACAGUUAACAGUGCGGCAGUGGCAGAUGCGUUGACAUUUUACAGUGGUGGCCCAGAUUGGCGGCUGUCACCGCCCGCGGCCAUCAGAGGUCGUCGCCGGGUUCAAUCGGCUCGUCGGGCCGGUCUAGCUGCCAGGGGCCGACUGCCGCCGGCGCCGACCCGUCCGUCACCCGGCGAGGCAGCACUCAUUAAUCGAAGCCAGCCCGAGGCACACCAAACGCCCCCCCCCCCCUCUUCCGUUACGUGGCUAACCAACUUUCCCCUGAAACCAAACACAUUCGCUCAUUGUAUGUUUUUAUUUGUAGAUGUCGCAAUACAAUCCAAAGUGCGACUCGAA